UCGUUCUUACCCCGGUUCUUUAGUUCCAACACCUACGCCAAGCCACAUUUUUUCCUAUUUCUCAUCACUGAGUUCAGAGGGUGGAGAUUCAGCUAUAUCAAGACUACUCUGGGCAUCCAGUAGCAGGAAAACAGCAAGAAAGGUCUCAGCUGAUUCCCAGGAUGGAAACAGCAAAGAAGAGAUAGCCAUUAACUAUGAAGAUAUCUGAGCUUCUAUUCUCAGCCUGAGAAAAGAAAUAUUUCUGUGUACCAGCCAGCUACAAGAGACAACUCAGGUUUGGCUGUAGGAGUCAAACGUCUAUCAAACAAAACCCUUUGCUUCUGCGUCAGUGAGCUUUUAUGUAGAACCCCCCCCAAGAAAAACAAACAAACGUACAGAUGGCAAUGAAUAACUGAUUUACUUAUCUCUUGCCUGGUUAAUGAAUUAUAGGCAAUACCUGCUAUGGAUCCAUAAGACUAUUAUAAUACGCUUUAAUCCAGAGAGCCACUUACAUCAUGAAUAUGGAAGUUCUAUGGAAAUAUCAUUUGAUUUUCUAUGCAGUCAUAUAUCCUAUGCAUUAAAAAAAACAGUUUAGCAGUAGUGAUAUUCAGUCACUAGAAAAGAACACUGCAUGGAGUCCAGUCAUUAACUACUUUCUUGCGGAGAUACACUUAGAAAACUAGGGAGAGAAUUUUCAGCACCCUGCAGAUAAUUGCUGGUUAUAGAGGAAACUAGUUAUUUUAUCUGCAGAUGGCUGCAAAACAUGAUCCAUAUUUCCAGGGAAUUGCUCUCUCCUUGUGUUGCCUCAGUUUUGUGGUUGUGCCGGAUGCUUAAUGGCCAGUUUGAAACAUUCUUUAAGAUUUCAUUCGUGCUGAGCUUGAAAGCUGCAAAACUGCUUUGACUGCUACUAUGGGCAGUCUAUUAAAAUGAUGUUCACUUACUCGUGGGCUGUACUAGGGGGGAAUGGCUGUCAAUCUCCCUCAGCGAGAAGAGUGUAAAAUACUGCGGGCCCAAGGAGGUGCUCCUGCUGUCAUUAAUAAUGUUAAGAUCUAUUCUUUGCUGGUUAGUGGACAUCCAUAUAUGUUUUAUUGCUAUUAAUUCACUGCUUUCUCCCUCGUGCUGAAACUAAAAUUUCUUUUCAGGUUUGGGAGGAAAUCAUAGAAGGAUAAGAAAAGGGGUCUGAAAAGAUUAUUAUCCUACAAAACAUAGUUUCUUUGGCCAUAGCCCAUAACAGUAACCUGCUGUUUUCAGGAUCUCUGCAGGAUGAGUGCAGGGGACUGUACUAAAAGAUCUUUUGAGGUCCCUUCCAGUCCUACAAUUCUAUGAUUCUAUAUAGCUGCCAUAGCUUGUCAGGCCAUUGUUAUAUUACCAAUAUUUCCUUUCAAAGUUACCAAGUUUUAGGUGUGGCUGAACAUGGAGGUGUAAGCAGAACAUCCAUAUGCAAAAUACAUACUGUGCUCUUGCAGGAUCUUCACAUUAACACCAUGUUGAGUAGUUCAGCCUGAAAUGACUUUGGAGAAGGUAAGAUCAAGAAGAUCCUUUAUACUUGUUUAAGCCCCACAGAUUGAUGGCUUAAAGUAAUGUUACUCUCUGCUUGCCCCUUUAGAGAAGCUACUGGCAGGUGUCAUUUACAUAAAGUAUAAUUUUGCUUAUCCAUA